CGGCAGGCCUGGCUGCAGAGGCCAGAGGUAGCGGUGGGCCCAACCCAGCUGUGGAGGCAAGGCCCAGGAGAUGGGGGGAGAAAGUGGCGGUGGGGAGGAGAGGCGCCUAGGCCUGGAAGUGGAGACUGAGGCAGAAGACAGGCCAUGCGUGGCAACCUCUCGCGAGAGCUCUGGACAGAGCUCUCACACAUGAGAUUGGCGGAAAAAUAAUGGCGGCGGUGGCGGGCCCGGCCUGGCCACAGUCAAGAGGCAGCUACGGGCCCGGCUGCGGUGAGGGCCCUGCCUGGCCGCCGGGGUGAGGAGGCGGCUGGGCUGCCAGGAAGAGGCGGCUGCGGAAGAAGGCGGGAGGCAGCAGGUAAGAGGAGCCCAGCUGGGGUGGCUGAGAUGCACCGUGCCCAGUGGGGAAGGAAAGCACUGCCGGCGGGCAGGGAGGGAAAAGUCAGAGGAGGCGGUCGGUGGAGCCGAGGCAUCGAGAAGAACCCGACCAGGGAAGGAAAGAAUGGCAACAAACUAGCAGCGCAGAUGCUGUGCGCCGGGUCUGCUAGUAUAAACUAUCUGCUCAAUAACAUAUCUAUUAUAUAUAUUUAAAAGAGUUGUUUGUGGAAAAGAGUUGAUUGAGCAAAACAACGUUAUACUUCUUGAUUACCUAAGGUAAAGCCUGCUGUUGAGUCGGUGUCGACUCCUGGUGACCACAGAGUCCUGUGGUUGUCUUUGGUAGAAUACAGGAGGAGUUUACCAUUGCCUCCUCCCGUGCAGUAAGAGAUGAUGCCUUUCAGCAUCUUCCUAUAUCGCUGCUGCCCAAUAUAGGAGUUUCCCAUAGUCUGGGAAACAUACCAGUGGGGAUUCGAAGCAGCAACCUCUGGCAACCUCAUCAAUUCAUUUCCCUGCUGCACCAUUAGGUCGCUGUAUCUUGAUUACCUACUGAUACCAAAUUUUUCAUACCCAAUCGUGCUACUUACAUUAGCUCAAUUCACUACUUUUACACCAGAAUAUUCAGGGAGAAAAGGUUUUUAAAACAUUUGGGGGGUAUUUUUAGAAUAAAUUCUCAAUACAAGUGAGAAGGAAUCACUUCUUCCCAUUAUACCUGUAUCUUAUGGUUUGUUUGUUUUCAGUUUGUUCUGUGUCCCCUCCAGGAUCUGCAGGAAUUAAAAGGUAGCAACUUCUAAAAGCCAAAUCUGAGGUAAAAGUAGUCUGCAGUGUGCACAGCAGAGUUUUGGAGGGAAAGUUAUUGUGUGUUAUGAUUGGUUGUCUCAAGGCAGAGACAGAAGGUUCUGGAUGCCUGGGGGGAAAAACUCCCUGAUUGGGUAAUGUGGAACUGGAUAAAAGGGCGGGUUGAGCAGCCAAGGGAAGGGCUGUGGGAGAAAGGAUCUGUGAGAGUGUGUGCUGCUGAGUGAAGUGACGGAUGGUGAGAGUGCUGCCAGGGGAGAUGAUGAGAGGCACCUUUAAGUGUGCAUUAGUAGAUGCUUACUUCCAGUACCACUGCACCUGAAAGCUGCUUUGAGCAGCAGUGCACCUUGUGGCAAAGGAUCCACUUCACCACUCACCUGGUCACUAUGCUAGACACUCACCUGGUCUCCGCGCAUGCAUGGAGGCCAGGUGAGUGGUGGAGCCAAUCCCCCCACCACAGGGGGUGCUGGGCACCACACCACUGCACUUAAAGGUGCCUCUCACCACCGCCCCCCAGCAGCGCCCUCACUGGCUGCCACUGGCGGAGUGUUGUGUGAGCCAGAAGGCUGGGACACCAGCAGAGUAGGGUCAGGCUGAAACUGCUAGAGAAGGUAGCAGUGAGGGAGCUGGUCUUACUAGAACCUGCUAGUUGAGAUGUGCAAUUCAAUUCAACCUUGAAUUGAUUUGGGUUGUAUUUGGGGCAAUUUGGGGAUUCAACCGCAAAUCAGAUCACUCUCAAAACAAAGGGCCUGAUUCAGGGUUGACGAUAAUCACCCCCUAUUUGACCCAACUCAGUUUGGGUGGUUUUUCCAGGGAGAGCUGGUCUGUCAAUUGGGGUCAGCAGGUAGACUAGCCCUCCACUCCAGACUUGGUGCGUCAGCCAGCCUCAGAGGACUGGUCUACCCGCCAACCCCAACUGAUAGACCAUCUCUCCCCAGAAAAACUGCCAUUUUAAGGCCCAUUUUUCCAUCUCUCCCUGGAAAAAUGGACCUCAAAGUGGAGCUUGAAUCACUUGAAUUGAUUUAAGGUUGAUUCGUAGAGACAUGCUAGCUGAAUCCGAUGAAUCAGUUUGAGUUUUUGAGAUCCGACUCAAGCUCGAAUGGAAUCGCAAAAUUUGAUUCAUGCACACCUCUACCUGCUAGACCUUGAAAGAAGUGGCUAGCAAGCUUGUUUGUUUUGUAUUUUGAAUUUUGUACUCUUGCCAACUGAACUUUACAUCAUUUGUCCCUGUACUGUGUUUUGAAUUGUUGCAACCUUUUAUUAUAGUAAACCUGUUCUUGUUUUUAUGCUA